GUAAACAGGUCCUUAGGGGGUUAGAUUUUUUGAUAUAUAUUUGUGGUCAAAACAAUGUAGUAUUGGAAAUUGGUCGGUUUGGUUAGUUCAGUUUUGUAACUAAAUUAAUUGAACUGAACUAAAAGGAUGAAAUUUCUCAAAAAUACUACCCGAAUCAAAACCAAAAUCCAAAAACCGAACCGAAAACUGCUUACCCCUACUUUUGGGUGACUAGUUGGGCUUUUGGAAGUUUAAGGUUAGGAAUACCCAAUUCUUGUGGUGAUAUUCACAUGCCUAGUACUUUCUCAGGCCUGUAUAUUGUUAUGAUUUUGAGUUUUAUGAUUGUGGAGGGGCAGAAAUUGGUUCAUGCAUU
rnacentral:misc_RNA from 1 species